AGCCACGUGGGCUCAGCGGAAGGAGAGCCCACUUCCUAAAGGUGUUUGGGGCCUAUAUUCAACUACUGCAAGGCCUUGGGAGAGGAGAAUGAUAUUGGAGUGAAAGCAUAAACACAGGGCGGAAUUGUUGGGUUUCCUCUUUUUACUUGGAGACACUUCCUGCGAGGAUGGGGGCAGGCACGCUGGGCAUCUGCCAAAAUAAAGCAGCGGUUCAGCUGAGGGAAGAUAUGAAAAAGAUAGCGGCAGUGCCACUGAGUGAACAGCAGGAUCCUGCCUAUAAAAAGUUAUUUGGAGUCAGCCUCCAAGAGCUUCAGCAGCAGGGGCUCACUAAGGACGGGGUGCCCACCAUGGUGAGGAGCAUCAUGGAGUACUUGGUGCAGCAUGAAAAGAUAUUUCUGAAAUGCUAAACCACCCUUGGAAUGUAAGGGCUUCCAGGAGGGCCUGUUCCGGGUGGACGGCAGCGUGAAGGCGGUAGACAGGCUCCGGCGCGCGUGGGAGAGGGGCGCGUUCGUGGAGCUGGGUGCAGGUGACCUUCGAGCAGCAACCAGCCUGCUGAAGCGCUUCCUGCGCGAGCUGCCUGGAGGCCUGGUGCCCGCGGCACUGCGGCAGCGCCUGCUCCAGCUCUGUCCGGAUCAGCUCCUUUCAUCCCUGCUUUGUGGGAGGAACUCUGGAGCCACAAGUGAGUGACUUAUAGUGUAAUGGAGACCGAAGCGUCAUUAUGGGAGUUGCCUAAUAACGUGCCCAGCAUAUGAAGACCAGUUCCAAGGUGCCAUGAGACUGCAGGAAAGCAAACAGCUUCAGAAUUACACAGGAUGCAAUUUACUGGGGUCCCUUACUGACAGAAGCAUGUUUCUGGGCAGUAGAAGAAGUACAUGGUUCCAUGCAAUUUGGAUCAAAAGCAGGAACAUAUACAAGACACAAGAGAAAAAUAUGGUGCUGCCCUUUAAAAGAUCAUUACAACUGAAAACAUAGUGCCAUUAAUCCUUCUUAAAAUAUCCCCCUUCACUUUGAGCACAUUUAUCCCAUUGCUUUUGCCACUUUCUGAAGCAGUUCUGGAGUGAAGUGUCAUGAGUAUCUUUAGUUGCUCUGUUGUGGUUGGCUCCGUGUCCUGAAUCAGUUCAGAAUGUUUACCUUUCAUGGUCAUAUUGACUUUGGGGAAGAACCAGGAAUCGCACAGUGCCAGAUCCAGUUAGUAAGGUGAAUGGGUUCACACCACAAUGUUUUUAUGAGCCCGCCUUUCUGUUGGGUGGCAGUUGGCAGCAGCUUUCACUGUAUUUUUUUGUUGUUGUUAUACCCUGUGAAGACAUUCAUGAUGGAGGACUUCCAGAACUGCUUCAAAAAGUGCGUUUGACUUGAAGGG